rnacentral:rRNA from 1 species
UACAGAGGGGGCAAGGCGUUAUUCGGAAUUAUUGGGCGUAAAGGGCGCGUAGGCGGCUUGGCAAGUGGAUGGUGAAAUCCCUCGGCUUAACCGAGGAACGGCCGUCCAAACUGCUUCGCUUGAGACCGGGGAGAGGUGAGUGGAAUUCCCGAGUGUAGCGGGUGAAAAUGCGUAGAUAAUCUGGAGGAACACCGGUGGCGAAGGCGGC